GUACACACCGCCCGUCAAGCCACGAAAGCGGGGAGCAUCCGAAGUUGCUGCGUGAACCGAAAGGACACAGGUGCCUAAGAUGAGCUCCGUGAUUGUGACUAAGUCGUAACAAGGUAGCCGUAGGUGAACCUGCAGAAGGAUCA
rnacentral:rRNA from 1 species